AGAGUUUGAUCCUGGCUCAGGAUGAACGCUGGCGGCGUGCCUAACACAUGCAAGUCGAACGGAGUUCUUAAGGAAUGCGACUUCGGUCAAAUGACUUUUGAACUUAGUGGCGGACGGGUGAGUAACGCGUGAGCAACCUGCCUUUCAGAGGGGGAUAACAUUUGGAAACAGAUGCUAAUACCGCAUAAGAUUACAGUACCGCAUGAUACAGUGAUCAAAGGAGCAAUCCGCUGAAAGAUGGGCUCGCGUCCGAUUAGAUAGUUGGUGAGGUAACGGCUCACCAAGUCGACGAUCGGUAGCCGGACUGAGAGGUUGAACGGCCACAUUGGGACUGAGACACGGCCCAGACUCCUACGGGAGGCAGCAGUGGGGAAUAUUGCACAAUGGGCGAAAGCCUGAUGCAGCAACGCCGCGUGAGGGAAGACGGUUUUCGGAUUGUAAACCUCUGUUUUCGGUGACGAAUAAAUGACGGUAACCGAGUAGGAAGCCACGGCUAACUACGUGCCAGCAGCCGCGGUAAUACGUAGGUGGCAAGCGUUAUCCGGAAUUACUGGGUGUAAAGGGAGCGCAGGCGGGAUAGCAAGUCAGCUGUGAAAACUAUGGGCUCAACCCAUAAACUGCAGUUGAAACUGUUAUUCUUGAGUGGAGUAGAGGCAAGCGGAAUUCCGAGUGUAGCGGUGAAAUGCGUAGAUAUUCGGAGGAACACCAGUGGCGAAGGCGGCUUGCUGGGCUCUAACUGACGCUGAGGCUCGAAAGUGUGGGGAGCAAACAGGAUUAGAUACCCUGGUAGUCCACACUGUAAACGAUGA
rnacentral:rRNA from 1 species